rnacentral:sRNA from 1 species
AAACUGGUAUUUCUUUUUUUUAAUUUGAAUAUCUCAAAGUGAACAAAAAAUAAGACAAGAGUUGUAAAGAUUCAAACUAAGAACAUCUGAAAACAAAAUGAGGGCUCUACUUGCUGUCUCUCUCAUGGUAACACUGUCGGUCAUCAACUCGAAGGUCUGGGAAAUCCCGAUACCUGCCCACCUGCAGCACUGUUACGACAGAGUGCAGACAAAGGGCGUGGAUACUUACGUUGGAAGUACUUACGGGUGGAUGUGUGAGAAUUCCUUGAAAAAACCCGAGACUCCCGCAGGACUUCCGGUCUAUGAUGCUCCAAUAACCACGUAAGUGUUCUUGAGACAGUCUUGAGACAGUCUUGAAUGAGUACCAAAAGUCAAACAUAAAGUAGAAGCUAGGGAGACUACAUUCUUCUUUAGAAUGAACUAUCAGGCCAAAGCAUUACACACAACUGAACAUAAAACUUGUGUUCAACUUGUGUUGUGCUUCUAUAAAACUUGUGUUCGUUCAACUUGUAUUGUGCUUCUAUAAAACUUGUGUUCAACUUGUAUUGUGCUUCUAUAAAUCUUGUGUUCAACUUGUGUUGUGCUUCUAUAAAACUUGUGUUCAACGUGUGUUGUGCUUCUAUAAAAAAAACUUGUGUUCAACUUGUGUUGUGCUUCUAUAAAACUUGUGUUCAACUUGUAUUGUGCUUCUAUAAAACUUUGAGCAAACGAUAAAACUAUUCAAAUAUUAUAUUCA